AUCUCAAGGAUCCCAACGGCUAGUCGACAUCGUUUACGGUGUGGACUACCAGGGUAUCUAAUCCUGUUUGCUCCCCACGCUUUCGCACCUCAGUGUCAGUAUCAGUCCAGGUGGUCGCCUUCGCCACUGGUGUUCCUUCCUAUAUCUACGCAUUUCACCGCUACACAGGAAAUUCCACCACCCUCUACCGUACUCUAGCUCAGUAGUUUUGGAUGCAGUUCCCAGGUUGAGCCCGGGGAUUUCACAUCCAACUUGCUGAACCACCUACGCGCGCUUUACGCCCAGUAAUUCCGAUUAACGCUUGCACCCUUCGUAUUACCGCGGCUGCUGGCACGAAGUUAGCCGGUGCUUAUUCUGUUGGUAACGUCAAAACAGCAAGGUAUUAACUUACUGCCCUUCCUCCCAACUUAAAGUGCUUUACAAUCCGAAGACCUUCUUCACACACGCGGCAUGGCUGGAUCAGGCUUUCGCCCAUUGUCCAAUAUUCCCCACUGCUGCCUCCCGUAGGAGUCUGGACCGUGUCUCAGUUCCAGUGUGACUGAUCAUCCUCUCAGACCAGUUACGGAUCGUCGCCUUGGUAGGCCUUUACCCCACCAACUAGCUAAUCCGACCUAGGCUCAUCUGAUAGCGUGAGGUCCGAAGAUCCCCCACUUUCUCCCUCAGGACGUAUGCGGUAUUAGCGCCCGUUUCCGGACGUUAUCCCCCACUACCAGGCAGAUUCCUAGGCAUUACUCACCCGUCCGCCGCUGAAUCCAGGAGCAAGCUCCCUUCAUCCGCUCGACUUGCAUGUGUUAGGCCUGCCGCCAGCGUUCAAUCUGAGCCAGGAUCAAACCCUC
rnacentral:rRNA from 1 species